GCCUGGGUUGGGCUUUGUAGCUGCUCCGCAGGCCCAGCCCGGGCCGCGCUCGCAGAGUCCUAGGCGGUGCGCGGCCUCCUGCCUCCUCCCUCCUCGGCGGUCGCGGCCCGCCGGCCUCCGCGGUGCCUGCCUUCGCUCUCAGGGUACCUUCCUUCCGCGAGCGCGCUCCUCCGCCCUCCGCCCCGCCCUCCCCUCCCCUCUGUCUGUAUUCUUUGUCCACCACCGGCGCCCUCGGAGCUUGCAUUUGCCUCUCCGAUACUUUAUAUUGAUUUUGUUCUUUUCCGUGGCCAAGUAUCGGUUUCACAUCCUUUCUAUGACCUUCACCGUUAGGCCUCUGUUCUCGUCUCUUUUCAAUCAUUGUCAUUGACUCAACCUGUCCCCGCUCCCUCUGUCUCCACUAAGAUGACAUGCUCAACUGGAUGACUUGGAGGAAGUUGAGGAGCUCAAGCUUGGGAAAAUGGUGUGCAUUCCUUGUAUCGUCAUUCCAGUUCUGCUCUGGAUCUACAAAAAAUUCCUGGAGCCAUAUAUAUACCCUCUGGUUUCCCCCUUCGUUAGUCGUAUAUGGCCUAAGAAAGCAAUACAAGAAUCCAAUGAUACAAACAAAGGCAAAGUAAACUUUAAGGGUGCAGACAUGAAUGGAUUAC
rnacentral:lncRNA from 10 species